rnacentral:rRNA from 1 species
GGGAUUAGUGGCGAACGGGUGAGUAACACGUGGGCAAUCUGCCCUGCACUCUGGGACAAGCCCUGGAAACGGGGUCUAAUACCGGAUAUGACUAUCUGCCGCAUGGUGGAUGGUGUAAAGCUCCGGCGGUGCAGGAUGAGCCCGCGGCCUAUCAGCUUGUUGGUGAGGUAGUGGCUCACCAAGGCGACGACGGGUAGCCGGCCUGAGAGGGCGACCGGCCACACUGGGACUGAGACACGGCCCAGACUCCUACGGGAGGCAGCAGUGGGGAAUAUUGCACAAUGGGCGAAAGCCUGAUGCAGCGACGCCGCGUGAGGGAUGACGGCCUUCGGGUUGUAAACCUCUUUCAGCAGGGAAGAAGCGAAAGUGACGGUACCUGCAGAAGAAGCGCCGGCUAACUACAUGCCAGCAGCCGCGGUAAUACGUAGGGCGCAAGCGUUGUCCGGAAUUAUUGGGCGUAAAGAGCUCGUAGGCGGCUUG